UAGUGGCGAACGGGUGAGUAAUACGUGAGUAACCUGCCUUUAACUCUGGGAUAAGCCUUGGAAACGGGGUCUAAUACCGGAUACGACCAACCCUCGCAUGGGGUGUUGGUGGAAAGGGAUUUUGUACUGGUUUUAGAUGGGCUCACGGCCUAUCAGCUUGUUGGUGAGGUAACGGCUCACCAAGGCGACGACGGGUAGCCGGCCUGAGAGGGUGACCGGCCACACUGGGACUGAGACACGGCCCAGACUCC
rnacentral:rRNA from 1 species